UACAGAGGGUGCAAGCGUUAUCCGGAAUUAUUGGGCGUAAAGAGCUCGUAGGCGGUUUGUCGCGUCUAUCGUGAAAGUCCGAGGCUCAACCUCGGAUCUGCGGUGGGUACGGGCAGACUAGAGUGAUGUAGGGGAGACUGGAAUUCCUGGUGUAGCGGUGAAAUGCGCAGAUAUCAGGAGGAACACCGAUGGCGAAGGCAGGUCUCUGGGCAUUAACUGACGCUGAGGAGCGAAAGCAUGGGGAGCGAAC
rnacentral:rRNA from 1 species